AAGUCCACGGGGCCCAGGAAGUCCUGGCAGCCCAAUUCCUGGUGGUCCAGUUGGACCAUCAUGGCCCUUUUCACCAGGAAGUCCUGGUGACCCCUUUUCACCUGGGAAGCCAGAUCCACUGUCUCCCUAGAGAACAAAGAAAAAGAGACUGAAAGGUCAUUUAAAGACUUGUCUGGAAAGGCUUCUAACCACAGUAACAAGGCCUGUAUGACCUCUCGAUCCAAAUAACCCCUGAGAAAGAAACAAAUGGCAAUAAUCAGGAGAUGCAGACUUCCUAGAAUCCUGGUGCUUAGCGAAGAUAUGACCUAAAGAAAACGAUUGAUGGGGAGUGAAGAACAUUUAAAAUCCUCCAUUCCCCCCUCUGUACCCAAGUUAAUUAAGACUUACUGGAGUCCCUGCUGGGCCAGGUGCACCCCUAGAGCCUGGAUCUCCUCUAGUCCCUUUAAUACCAGGUAGGCCAAUGAGACCUUGUGUCCCUGGCAGGCCUGGUUCCCCAUGUGGUCCAAUGUUGGGGGCACCACCUUCACAAGUGCAAAACCCAGAGUCCCCUGAAGGAAAAACAGACAACAAAUAAACAAAUA